rnacentral:rRNA from 1 species
GACGAAGGGGGGCUAGCGUUGUUCGGAAUUACUGGGCGUAAAGCGAGUGUAGGUGGUUGUCGUAGUCAGGUGUGAAAGCCUUGAGCUCAACUCAAGAAAUGCACUUGAUACUGGGCAGCUAGAGGACCCGGAGAGGAUAGUGGAAUUCCCAGUGUCAGUGGUGAAAUACGUAGAGAUUGGGAAGAACACCAGUGGCGAAGGCGGCUAUCUGGACGGUUUCUGACAC